rnacentral:rRNA from 1 species
CUACGGGAGGCUCCAGUGGGGAAUAUUGCACAAUGGAGGAAACUCUGAUGCAGCAACGCCGCGUGGAGGAUGGCACUUUUCGGAGCGUAAACUCCUUUUAUAUAGGAAGAAGAUGACGGUACUAUAUGAAUAAGCGCCGGCUAACUCCGUGCCAGCAGCCGCGGUAAUACGGAGGGCGCAAGCGUUACUCGGAAUCACUGGGCGUAAAGAGCGUGUAGGCGGAUUAAAAAGUCAGAAGUGAAAUCCUAUAGCUUAACUAUAGAACUGCUUCUGAAACUCUUAAUCUAGAAUAUGGGAGAGGUAGAUGGAAUUCCUGGUGUAGGGGUAAAAUCCGUAGAGAUCAGAAGGAAUACCGAUUGCGAAGGCGAUCUACUAGAACAUUAUUGACGCUGAGACGCGAAAGCGUGGGGAGCAAACAGGAUUAGAUACCCUGGUAGUC